AGAAGAAACACGCAUUCGAAACGAUUUUGCCCUUUCAAAUGCCUUUUUCUUCAUGC
rnacentral:pre_miRNA from 1 species